GGGGAUGUAGCUCAGUGGUAGAGCGAAUGCUUUGCAUGUAUGUGGUCCUGGGUUCAAUCCCCAGCAUCUCCG
rfam:Salmo salar isolate Sally breed double haploid chromosome ssa05, whole genome shotgun sequence.